CAUAUUAGGCAGUUUUCUUUAUUUUUUUCUUUUUUUCCAUAUUUUUUAUUGAAGUUCAAUUUGCCAACAUAUAGUAUAACCCCCAGUGCUCACCCCGUCAAGUGCCCCCCUCAGUGCCCGUCACCCAGUCACCCCCACCCCCCACCCUCCUCCCCUUCCACUACCCCUUGUUCGUUUCCCAGAGUUAGUCAUUUAUUUAAAUGUGAGUUGGCUGUGGCCAGCAGUCAGGGGUGGUGCGGAUCUGGUGGAAGUACUCCUCAGGCUGUGGCUAUCUACUUAAUAUUGCUGCUUCCAAACUUCGUCUCAAAGCAGGCGGUUAGAGAAAUGCAGAUUCCCGGACGACGCAGUGGCCACAGUUCCCAAGAAAAAUAGCAGCAAUGUGUGCUCCACUGCUACUUCAAUACCAGACUUGACCAAGAUGGACAAGAAGACUGAUCACAUUGAUGUUACAUCUUGAAAUAUGAAUAAAUUUGGUGGAAUGAUCAAAGGCUGGGUUUUCUAUUGCAAACCAUAUUUUAGGUGCACAAUAGGACCAUGCAGUGAAGUCCCCAAAGAGCACAACUUGUCAAGAAGUCUUGCCCUCUUGAGCAGAUCCUGGCAUUGAGGAUUAGCCAAGUUGGCUUCACCGACCUCUCUGCUGACAUUGUUUCUUUCUCCUUCACUGAAUUUGCCUUAUCUUCUGGAUAUUGCCUAGCACAAUAUCCUGCAGUGCCUUGGGGAUGCAAUUGUCAUGGAUUUAUCCUCUCCAGUUCGGGUGUGUUCCAGAUUUGAUCACUGCUUUGCUAUGACCACAAGGAAAUUAACCUAAUUACAAUAUUUAAAAACAUAAGUUGGGUCCUCUCACUGUUACUAGAGCAAAUUUCCCAAUGGCAACUUAACUGAGAAAAAAAAUCUCCUUCAUCUUGAAAAUAGGAAACUUCUAAGUAAAAAUGAAAGAAACUGGUUUUAUACCUAAAGUUCUUCUGAACUGGUCUUUAAUUAAGACCACAAUUACAUAUGGGCAUUUAAAGUACCAUU
rnacentral:lncRNA from 1 species